rnacentral:rRNA from 1 species
UACGUAAGGUGCAAGCGUUGCCCGGAUUUAUUGGGCGUAAAGAGCGUGUAGGCGGCCAGGUAGGUCUGGUGUGAAAACUCGAGGCUUAACCUCGAGAUGUCAUCGGAAACCAUCUGGCUAGAGUCCGGAAGAGGAGAGUGGAAUUCCUGGUGUAGCGGUGAAAUGCGCAGAUAUCAGGAAGAACACCAAUGGCGAAAGCAGCUCUGGGACGGUACUGACGCUGAGACGCGAAAGCGUGGGGAGCGAACAGG